UCGUCCUGCUUGUGCCGCGGAGCGCUGGCUGCGGCAGGUCCCGAAGCACCGGAGGAGCGGCCUCACACCGGGGUGGGAAGAGUGGAAACGUGCGGCAUUGACGCUCACCGAAAUCAGGUCGUGAAACCCUACUAAUUUGACCAGCGCCACAGAGACUGAAUGAAUACCUUUACCAGAAAGGGGAUUCUCGGCUGGGGGAUGUAGCUCAGUGGUAGAGCGCGCGCUUCGCAUGUGUGAGGUCCCGGGUUCAAUCCCCGGCAUCUCCAAACAGCCGUUAUCCCUUUUCUUUUCCUAGCACAGAAAACACUACACGUAGACCUUUUGCUCACAGAACAGUAGGGCGUCCAAGAACAAUCUAACAGUGAGGCAGAGAAACAACAGCGAAGCCCAGGGAAACGGCCUUUUCAGUUGUAUAAUACUUGGAGCUGCUCCACCCAUUUUGUGACUUGAAGAAAGACUGAGGAUGACCCAGAAGAAAGAGACAUCGUGGGAUUUUCUCCAUCCAGUCUUAGUGCUCUGUGUCAAUCCUGUUCCACAUCGGAGGUGCUGUGGAAGCAGUGAUUUCGUGACUGGUAUGGUUAAGCACGGAAAGAUCACAGAUGGCCGACGGUGUCUUUUGGGUAGCACACACGAGCACUUCCUAGUCUGCGGAGUCACCAUACUCUGAUGAGUGGCCCUUCCUGAGGCUGGCAGAGAGGAGAAAGCGAGGAGUGCCGUGGAAUGUUACCCAAUCAUUUCUCUCAGGAAACCUGUCAUUGUGACAGCCCGAUGGGGCAGGCAGGGGCUUGUCAUUUGCAUCAUAGCUCUUGGAACUCUUGCUCAAGGCACCCUAUCCCUGGUUGGUGUUGGCUCACCAUGGAAAUGUGGCCAGGCUUAUAUCAUCUGAAGAAAGCAAACCAUUAAGAAACAGAAAUAGUUCAUUUAAUACAUAGCCACCAAAGCAAUGCUUUUUUUUUUUUUUUUUUUUUUUUAAAACUUGUGAGUGAUUGUAUUGAUUUAAUACACACAGCUUAUUUCUGUCCCAGGUUACAAACUAGCCCUGGGGAAAUGGUGGAGCCAGUCAUUUGGAUUGCCCUUUACUGGCUGGGAAUUAAAUCAUUACUUAUUCCAUUUUAGAAUCACAAGUAGUACCCCAAGGCCUACUUUCCUAAGGAUUAAAAUCAAGGCAUGGAAAUGAAGAAUCCAGGUGUAAUUCUCAGAUGCAUGCAGAUGUUGAGAAUGCAGCAAUUUUUCCUGGAAAGCUGUCACUGCAAAAUCAUCCUGCUCAUGAUAGGCUCAUUCCUAGUUCUGCAGCAUGUCUAAUUAGUCAACAAGUCGGAUUUUCUUCUUUUAAAACAGCGCUGAAUCUUGCUCUUCCUCCUCAGGCCUGUCCCUCUGGACUACUGCAGAUCCUUAUCAGCUCACCCCCUGGGUUACCUGGGAAACCCCUGCUUUCCUUUGCCCCCCCCCCCAUAAUUGCUGCUAGUUGAAUUUUCUC